rnacentral:rRNA from 1 species
ACCCGGGCAUGCUCAGUACGGCGAGUGAGCGGCAAGAGCUCAAAUUUGAAAGCUGGCUCCUUCGGGGUCCGCAUUGUAAUUUGCAGAGGAUGCUUCGGGUGCGGCCCCUGUCUAAGUACCCUGGAACGGGUCGUCAGAGAGGGUGAGAAUCCCGUCUGGGAUAGGGUGUCCGCGCCCGUGUGAAGCUCCUUCGACGAGUCGAGUUGUUUGGGAAUGCAGCUCUAAAUGGGUGGUAAAUUUCAUCUAAAGCUAAAUACUGGCCGGAGACCGAUAGCGCACAAGUAGAGUGAUCGAAAGAUGAAAAGCACUUUGAAAAGAGAGUUAAAAAGCACGUGAAAUUGUUGAAAGGGAAGCGCUUGCGACCAGACUCGCCCCCGGGGUUCAGCCGGCAUUCGUGCCGGUGUACUUCCCCGGGGGCGGGCCAGCGUCGGUUUGGGCGGCCGGUCAAAGGCCCCUGGAAUGUAGUACCCUCCGGGGUACCUUAUAGCCAGGGGUGCAAUGCGGCCAGCCUGGACCGAGGAACGCGCUUCGGCACGGACGCUGGCAUAAUGGUCGCAAACGACCCGUCUUGAACCACGGACCAA